GACAUAUAUGACACUUUGAUCUAUAAAUAAAACCCUUUCCUGCCUUUCUUUCUCACUCGAUACACAUGAAACAAAAACACCAAACACACAGACUUUAAGUCUGUCUCUCUCCCCUCUCUCAUUCUAUACAUAUACAAACCUCACACUCUCUCUUUUACUCACAACUUGAACAGCAGACAACAUAAUCCUUCUCAUCCCCCUCUCUCUCGAUCAUAUAUACACUAACAACACACAUUUACAUCUCUCUCACCCUCUGAAGAAUCGGCCAGCAACCACCGUGGCGGUGGCGGCGCGUGGCGGUGCGUGGCAGUUCUCCGAUCAGGCGACCCCCUAUUCUUCUCCCUGUUCUACCGGUUGUACACCUUUUUUUUUCGAACAACAAAACGAGCCACCACCACCAUUGUUCGGUGGUGGUGCGGCGAUAAAGACCGAGACGAGAGAGAGGGAGAGACUGAGAGAAGGAGAUCGAGAAGAGAGAGAGGGAGAACCAGCGGAGGUGGUGGUGACCGGUGGUCCCCGUCUCGGACCGGUGGUCCUUUACUCGGACCGGUGGUCGACACUUUUAUCCAGCGACUACAAAUCGGGAGGAGAGAGAGAGGAACGAGAUGAGGAGAGAGAGAGCGACGGAACGACAAAGAACCACCGGCGGCGGUGGCGGCGCCUGUGACGGUGAUGGUGUCUCCGACAAGGUCCGUUCUAAUUCGGGUUGUAUACCGGCUCGAGUAUGUGUUCUGGAGCUUCGAUUCAGGCGGGUUGGUCGUCUCAGCUUUGGUUCCAGUUGACUCGGUCAAACUCGGGUCAACACCGAGUCAACUCAGUCAACCGAGUCAACAGUGGUCAACAGCAGGUUCGGGUCAACAGUUUGGUGCGGUCAGCUGUGGUCAACGGCUUUGGUUCGGGUCAAGCGGCUUGGUCAGACUCAGCUUCGGAUUUGGUUGACUCGGUCAAACCGAGUCAACUCGGUCAACCUGGUCAACUCAGGGUGUCGACUCAGUCAACUCAGUUGACCCGGUCAAAUCAGUCAACCGUUUUGGCGUUUCGACAUUAGAAAUUGGUAAAGAUUUAGCGGCGCGAUUACUUCGUUAUUUUUUUUUUAUAUAUCGUGAUAACGAGCUCGAACCAAUUGAUUAUGAUUUACGUUUGAUACAUAUUUGAAAAAAAUUGCAUAUAGUA